AUGUCCACCCCAGCUGCUCGAUCUCGCCCAUCGGAGGACGGACUCAUCAGGUCCUCCUCUUCGCCUCCCAGCGGCAGCGAGACGGCGGCCGAGAGACUCACCGACGACCUCCUCGUCGAGAUCCUCUCGCGCGUGCCCGCCAAGUCGCUCUGCCGCUUCAAGUGCGUCUCCAAGCACUGGCUCGGCCUCACCAACGACCGCAACUACCGCCGGAAGCUCCCCCAGACCCUCACCGGCUUCUACCAGGGGAAUCAAUUGGUGGAUUCAGGUGUUCCUUUCACCAAUGUCUCGGGGAGCCGCCAUCUCACACAUCCCGCCUUCCUGCCCAACCGCCGGCAGGUCAAGAUCAUGGACUGCUGUAACGGCCUCCUUCUCUGCUCCUCAUACGUUGCCGGCGACCAUGGCGACGUGUUCCGGUACAUUGUGUGCAAUCCCGCCACAGAGGAAUGGGCUGAGUUCCCGUACUGCGGCUAUUCCGGCCUGGUGGCUAACGCACGCUUGUGUUUUGAUCCAGCCGUGUCCCCUCAUUUCCAUGUGUUUUUGUUGCCGGUGGUGGAUAUCUGCAUUACCGGAGUGCAUGUCUAUUCAUCUGAAACCGGGAGUUGGGUUCAUAAGGAGAAGAGAUGGAGCGGCACUAUUGAUGUCGCUAAUGAUCGGUCAACUGUUUAUCUUAAUGGUUAUCUGCAUUUCUGCGCCAUUGUUGAUGGUUCUGACGGUCGUCUAGCUGCAGUGGACAAGGAGGGGGGAGCAAGGACUAACUUCCGUGUUCCUGAUGGUCUGGAUGUUGGUUUUAUUCAGCUGUCACAGGGCUGCCUGCAUUAUGCUGGUUUUGACACAGAUGAUGAUAAUGUUGUUCGACUGCUAGUUUAUGUUCUUAAAGACUAUGACCGCAGAGAAUGGAUACUGAAGCAUAGCGUCGAAACUUCGCAUUUGCUUGGAGGGCGGGCGACACAUAGAAUACCUUGA
rnacentral:rRNA from 1 species